ACAGAGAAGAUGAAGAGUGGACACUAGGGGACAAGGAACAAGGAUAAAAUCACAAGUCUUAGAUAAGUUGUAUUGGUCUCAAGGCAAAAAGAGCUGCAACCAACGUCAUCUGAGGAUACUGACUCACUAAUCCCCUACAGUGUGGACUGAAAACAAUUAUGAAGCUUCGGGUACAAGCAAUCACCACUUCCUUUAAUUGGCAGUGUCCCAGCAGCAGCUUCAGACUGACACGUGCCAGCCCCAAAGCUUGAUCUGCUUGAGAUAAGGCCACCAAGUCGUGGACUGGAGUUAGAUGUUUGAUUCUGGUCCUCGGGCUGUCUACCUAACAAAUCAGUGGCCGGGAAUAUCCACUUCCUCUCCCAGCAUUAGAUUUCUUCCAUUUGCUGACAGAAAGAGGCGAAUUAGAUUGGAAAUGGAAUUGCGUUAUCUUUCAGGCUCCUUAGAAAGCCAAAGCAUCCACGAGCCUCUGCUUUCCUUGGCAAUUUGAGGUGUCUUCCACACCUUUUAUCAAAGCUAAGGAGACAUUUACCAGCAGGAAGACGCGUUUCCUCACACAUAGAUCUACUUGCCAUCACAAUGUUUGAAGAUGAUUGUGAUCUUAGCCGGUAACACAAUCAAACACCAGACGCUUGACGUUCGGAACCGAAAACGCAAGCAGACGAACGAUUCAAACUCUUCCGUCUAACAAACUCUGAACAUGAAGAGGCAGAGACUUUGAUGGCAUCUCAGCCUAGGAUCCCUGCCCCCUCCCCCCAGACAGCCACUACACAUGGGAUCAAAGCUGGGGUUGGCAGGCACAGUGGUGGGGACAAAUUUGUGACGGGAUGGGCCUAACAAGAGCUUUGUCAGCGGUAAGACUCAGGCUCUGAAGAAAAGCCUGCUGAGCAAGCAGAAAGGAUGGUUUCCAAGAAGCUUGUGAGGAGCUGUUGUAGAGUUAGUUUAUCCAGUGCGUUUAUGUAGAGUUUAACAACUGAGAUCGGAGCUGUUAAAACAAAACAGGGAGAGUCAGUCUCACAAUAAAUCACAAAUGUCAUUCUC
rnacentral:lncRNA from 1 species